CCGGUUUUUGCCAGGCGGCGCCCAAGUAUACAGAUGUAUACAACUAUACAUAUUUAAUUAUAAUAAGGUUUAAAUUAACUCAUUAAAUAUUUACAUUCCCUUUAGGCUAAAUCUUUUUUGUGACCAACAAUAUUCCAACAAUAUUCAACAAUUAAUCACACUUAAGUUAAUAAAGAUGAAAAUAUUCUAAACUUUAAAUAAAGUUACCAAUAUCAUUAUUUGGAAUAGUGCUGCACAAGAAACUUAAUUAAGGGCCAAUUUAGUAAAUUGGAG